UACGGAGGGGGCGAGCGUUAUUCGGAAUUAUUGGGCGUAAAGGGCGCGUAGGCGGCCCGGUAAGUCAAAGGUGAAAUCCCUCGGCUCAACUGAGGAACUGCCUUUGAAACUGUCGGGCUUGAGGCCGGGAGGGGGUAGCGGAAUUCCAGGUGUAGCGGUGAAAUGCGUAGAUAUCUGGAGGAACAUCGGUGGCGAAGGCGGCAUCCUGGACCGAUAUUGACGCUGAGGCGCGAAAGCCAGGGGAGCAAACGGG
rnacentral:rRNA from 1 species